CCUACGGGAGGCAGCAGUGAGGAAUAUUGGUCAAUGGACGAGAGUCUGAACCAGCCAAGUAGCGUGAAGGAUGACUGCCCUAUGGGUUGUAAACUUCUUUUAUAUGGGAAUAAAAUGUUCCACGUGUGGGAUUUUGUAUGUACCAUAUGAAUAAGGAUCGGCUAACUCCGUGCCAGCAGCCGCGGUAAUACGGAGGAUCCGAGCGUUAUCCGGAUUUAUUGGGUUUAAAGGGAGCGUAGGUGGAUUGGUAAGUCAGUUGUGAAAGUUUGCGGCUCAACCGUAAAAUUGCAGUUGAAACUGGCAGUCUUGAGUACAGUAGAGGUGGGCGGAAUGCGUGGUGUAGCGGUGAAAUGCUUAGAUAUCACGAAGAACUCCGAUUGCGAAGGCAGUUCACUGGACUGCAACUGACACUGAGGCUCGAAAGUGUGGGUAUCAAACAGGAUUAGAUACCCCUGUAGUC
rnacentral:rRNA from 1 species